GACACUAAUAAUAAUUACCUACAAAAUAAUAGGUGCUCCUUUACUGGGAAGAACAUUUCGGAUCCGAUCAAUUUAUUGGUUCCAUUCCCCCAUUCUACACUUCUCCUUAGAAAAAAUGCCUUGCAAUGCGUCAUAAUUAUCUGGACUACUAACUUACUUCCAUAUAACUUCGAAAACAGACUAUAAUCUAUUUCACUGGAUGAGAUUGGGCUCACGGAUUUUUUAAUGGAUUGGUAAUUUUUAUUUAUAGCACAAGUUUACAAAGCAAGAUUAAUCACAUUUUUCACCCGGCCUACAAAUCAAAUGGUUGCCUCCUUACUGACUUACACCUACACAAGCUAAAAAAACAUAUUCAUGGGGGGGGGGGGGGGGGUUCAGAUGGGGGAUGCUUGCCUCAGUCAUGUUUCUGUGAUUCCCUAUAUAAUCAACAAAAUUUUUCACACAAAAAGGGGGGCAGGGAUUUCUCCUUAAUAAGAAAUCUCUAUUUUCAGCAUAAGCUCAUAUAAAUUUGCCUUUUGAAGAACUGAAAUAAAUAUGAGACGGCUAAUGAUUUUUCAGAUGCUUUACAUUAAAAUACAUCCAUGUGACAUUCACAAUUAUAUAUAGAUCCAAAUUUAAAAAGCUAUUUUUUUCAAUAUUUAAAUAAUGUAGGAUCAAAUCUUGAUACAUGUAUGUAGUUGAAAUUGUUAGCUUUAAACAUGUUAAACAUUAAAAAAUGAACACCCAAAGUUUAAACCACGUUUAAACAUAAGAAUGACCAUGUAGUCUUUAUUAAUGUAUGCUAUUGCUAUGAAACUAGGUCAUUGUAGGUAAACUGUCAUCUAUUCCCUUAAAUCUUUGUUCCCAGUCACCCCAAGUUUGAUUUAAAUUAGUCAAGUAUAUCUACUCUAUUAGGUCUCUAGUUUGGAUAGUUAAUAACUUGCAAAUUACAAAUGAAUUAAAAUCAUACUCCUCCCAAAUUUAUUUCUUUAAAUAUUAUGGAUGAAAUACAUGUAGCAAGUAAGGGAUGAAAUUAAAUUGGAUGAAAUGUGGCAUUUUUUUUUUGAUAAAGUAGUAUGUCGUCUGAUGUUGUCAAACUUAAUUAUAGACCCUUAAGGGGCGGAUCCAGUCAUUUUAAAAAGGGGUGGGGGUGGGAUUCUAACCCAGGACAAAAGGGGAAGGGGGGGGGUCCAAUUACAUGUCCCUAUUCAAAUGCAUUGAUUAUCCAAAAAAAGGGGGGUUCCAAUCCCUUGAACCCCCCUCUGGAUCUGUGCCUGCCCUUUAAAAAUAAAAUUAUCCUUAUUUUGAGUUAAAGCUUAUAGAUUUUUCUAUAAUGCUUCUCAGGGGCGGAUCCAGCCAUUUUAAAAGGGGGGUCCCAACCAAGAGCAAAGAGGGGUUCCAACUAUAUCUCCCAUUCAAAUGCAUUGCUCGGUAAAAGAAAAGGAUUCCAACCCUCAAAUCUAUGGUCAGGUUGUUGUCUCUUUGACACAUUCCCUUUUUCCAUUCUCAAUUUUAUCAUGUAGUCGUCGUUGUCCCAGGACAUUUAGUUUUCGCUUAAUAACUUUAGUACAAGUAAUAGAAAUCUAUGAAAUUCAAACACAAGGUUUGUGACCAGAGUUUUUGUUCAGAGUUUAGGAAUUACAUGAAUUAGGGGCCAAUAGGGGCCAAUAUUAAACUUUGUUUGAUUUUAUAGAAAAUUGAAUUAUUGGAGUUCUUUGAUAUGCCAAAUCUAACUGUGUAUUUAGAUUCCUAGUUUUUUGGUCCUGUUUAAAUUGGUCUACCUUAAGGUCCAAAGGGUCCAAAAUUAAACUUAUUUUGAUUUUAACAAUAUUUAAAUUCCUUGGUGUUCAGAUUAAUAUGCUGAAUCUGAAUAUUUACUUAGAUUUUUUUAUUAUGGGCCCAAAUUCAAGUUGAUCCAAAUCGGGGUCCAAAAUUUUACUUUGUUUGAUUUCAACAAAAAUUGAUUAUAUGGGGCUCUUUGAUAUGCUGAAUCUAACCAUUCAUUAAGAUUUUUGAUAUUUUGACCCAUUAUCAAAUUGGUCCACAUUGAGUUCUAAAAGGUCCAAAAUUUAACUUUAUUUGAUUUCACCAAAAAAUGAAUUAUUGGGGUUCUUUGAUCAUGUUGAUAUGCUGCAUCUAACCAUGUAUUGAGAUUUUGAAUAUUGGACCAUUUUAGAGGUUAAUUGUCAAUUUAAAAUUUUUAAGUACUUGGACCGCAUUCAUUCUGUGUCAGAAACCUAUGCUGCAUCAACUAUUGAAUCACAAUCCAAAUUUAAAAUUCAGAGUUGUAUUGAGCUUGAAUGUUGUGUCCAUACUUGCCCCAACUGUUCUGGGUUCAACCUGUACGUUUGUAUCAAGCUGAGCCAUGCAUAGCAUUUUUAUCUGAUUUAUAUAUUAAUUUGAAAUUUUGACAAGUGAGACACAUACAGAUUAUACUGUUAACAAUAUUUCAGAGUUUAACGUAGUCAAGCGAAACAAAUUUUAGAAGAAUAGUUGAAUCAUGUCUUUGUUGUCAAAUGAAAAAUUAGUACGAACACAAAGAAAAAGUAUGGGAAUGUUUGUUUUUUAAACUAUUGACCAGGGUGAAAGUCUUUGAAAGUCAUGACUGGCAAAAAGUUUGUGAAAUGAAAUAGCACAAAUAUUCCAUUCUUUUUAAAUAUAACUGAAUAUAAAGAAAAACACAAACUGAUGUUUUAUAAUAGUUUUUACCCUUUUUAUGUUUUAUAGGACAAGAAAUAUAGAAAAAUGAUGAAAAAUAUAAACAGUUACAAU
rnacentral:lncRNA from 1 species